rnacentral:rRNA from 1 species
UACGGGGGGGGCAAGCGUUGUUCGGAAUUACUGGGCGUAAAGGGCUCGUAGGCGGCCAACUAAGUCAGACGUGAAAUCCCUCGGCUUAACCGGGGAACUGCGUCUGAUACUGGAUGGCUUGAGUUUGGGAGAGGGGGAUGGAAUUCCGCGUGUAGCAGUGAAAUGCGUAGAUAUGCGGAGGAACACCGAUGGCGAAGGCAAUCCCCUGGGCCUGCACUGACGCUCAUGCACGAAAGCGUGGGGAGCAAACAGG